rnacentral:tRNA from 1 species
GAACCUGUCUGGGAUAAUGAGAACUGCUAAUUACUCGUGACCGUGGUUCAAUUCCACGGCCUGUUCA